UUGGUAGGUUCCCAGAAGACUAAAACGGAAAAUAUCCAAAUCCGAUCACGGCCCAUAAUAAGUGCUCAGUAAAUGUUUACCUGAGAGACGUCAGCCGGGCCGGACCCCAGAGGAGAUACGAGUGACUUCGAUGUGAAGAAAUGAUCACACACAAGGAAACCUCAUUGUAAGCUGGAAUGUGCUGUGCAGGUGUGAUGUCUGAGACGACAAGGAGACCAAAAAAGAAGGCUGGAGCAAAGUGUCCCUUGAGUGAGUGUGGAAAGUGUUGGGAAGAGACUUGGAAACAAGAAAAGAGGUCGCAUCUGGAGGAAUGACACUGCCCUUGAAGGAGCCGGAUUGGGUAGAGCAAGGUGGAAGAACCUUCCAAGUCCCCUGCUUGGGCCUCACCUGGAUGCCUGGGCAUAGAGCAGACCCAGAGGGGUAAGGGUAGACAAUGGAUCUCUGGGGACAAACAGAAUGACCUGUGCGGAAAAGAAGUUCCAGGAUGAACUGGCUUGCAGCUGGAUUCAGCCGAUGGGAAGGACUGGCAGAAGCCUGGGGGGCUGGGGGAGGCAAGGACCUGGUAGGCUGCGGGGUAUCUCCCUCCAGACAAGCCAUCAUUAUUGUGCCUCCUGCUAAGUGAUGCCAGUGGGAGGCCUCCUACAACACCAACCCCCCACCCCCCAGGAGCAGUGGCUUCCUGCUAAUCCCUGAUCACCUCACCACCCCAGUCUGGCUUCUCACUCUUCACCACCCUGAAUAAAGUACU